GCCGCAAUAACUCAGUCGGUAGAGUAACUCCAUGGUAAGGAGUAAGUCCCCGGUUCGAAUCCGGGUUGCGGCU
rnacentral:tRNA from 1 species